rnacentral:rRNA from 1 species
GGGUGGAAGUCCAACUCACAUGCACCAGAUCCCAUCAGAACUUCGAAGUUAAGCGAGUUUGGGCGAGAGUAGUACUAGGAUGGAUAUCCUUAUCUUGCAUCCCC